rnacentral:sRNA from 2 species
AUCUACUACUGUCAAUCUAUCUAUUACUGCUAAUCUAUUGCUGCUAAUCUACUGCUGUCAAUUUAUUUAUUACUAUUAAUCUAUCUAUCACUGCUAAUCUAUUGCUGCUAAUCUAUCACUGCUAAUCUAUUACUGCUAAUCUAUUACUGCUAAUCUAUCACUGUCAAUCUAUCUACUACUGUCAAUUUAUCUAUCACUGCUAAUCUAUUGCUGUUAAUCUAUCACAGCUAAUCUAUCACAGCUAAUCUAUCACUGCUAAUUUAUUGCUAUCAAUCUAUCUAUCAUUGUCAAUCUAUCUACUGCUGUCAAUCUAUCUAUCACUGCC